rnacentral:rRNA from 1 species
AGGACGAACGCUGGCGGCGUGCUUAACACAUGCAAGUCGAGCGGAAAGGCCCUUCGGGGUACUCGAGCGGCGAACGGGUGAGUAACACGUGAGUAAUCUGCCCCUAGCUCUGGGAUAGCUCCGGGAAAACCGGGAUUAAUACCAGAUACGACCACUUUAGACAUCUUCUGUGGUGGAAAGAACUUCGGCUAGGGAUGAACUCGCGGCCUAUCAGCUUGUUGGUGAGGUAACGGCUCACCAAGGCGACGACGGGUAGCCGGCCUGAGAGGGCGACCGGCCACACUGGGACUGAGACACGGGCCCCAGACUCCUACGGGAGGCAGCAGUGGGGAAUAUUGCGCAAUGGGCGAAAGCCUGACGCAGCGACGCCGCGUGGGGAUGAAGGCCUUCGGGUUGUAAACCCUUUCAGCAGGACGAAGCGAAAGUGAUGGUACCUGCAGAAGAAGCGCCGGCUAACUACGCGCCAGGAGCCC